UACGGAGGGUGCAAGCGUUAUCCGGAUUUACUGGGUUUAAAGGGUGUGUAGGCGGAUAUUUAAGUCAGUGGUGAAACCUCCGGGCUCAACCCGGAAACUGCCAUUGAUACUAUUUAUCUUGAAUAUCGUUGAGGUUGGCGGAAUAUAUCAUGUAGCGGUGAAAUGCAUAGAUAUGAUAUAGAACACCGAUUGCGAAGGCAGCUAACUAAGCGAUUAUUGACGCUGAGGCACGAAAGCGUGGGGAUCAAACAGG
rnacentral:rRNA from 1 species